CCAUUGUUUUGUUUAUUCUGGGUUUGAUUCUGCCAUGCCUGCUAGCCUGAUCACUGCAGGUCUUUAUUUAUGUCUUUUGCCUUGUGAUCUGGCAAAAUCCACCCUGAGAAAUCUGAGAAGGGUUACAAAGCUAUUUCAAAGGCUCUGGGACUCCAAAGAACCACAGUGAGAGCUGUUAUCUCCAACCGGAACAAUUCAGCACAGUAGUGAACCUUCCCAGAAGUGGCCGACCCAGAAAGAGUGUCUUAUUACACAGUUGAGGGUAAAUCAAACCUGCAAAUUAAAUACUACAUUAAAUCCUAAUGUCAGUGCGAAACUGUCCACAUUUCCUUAUGUCCAGCAGUCAGAGAGCCUGUGCUGGGAUUUGGAGUCAACACUUCUGUUACUCAGCUAGUGCAGCCUUCAGAUGUUGGCAUGAAGCAGCAGUUGCACGUCACAGCCGAUGAAAAUUAGACUCCACAAACUCAG
ensembl:lncRNA